rnacentral:rRNA from 1 species
UUAGAGUUUGAUUUUGGCUCAGGAUGAACGCUAGCGGCAGGCUUAACACAUGCAAGUCGAGGGGCAGCGAGAUCAGUGCUUGCACUGAUUGUCGGCGACCGGCGCACGGGUGCGUAACGCGUAUGCAACCUACCCAUUACAGGGGGAUAACACUGAGAAAUCGGUACUAAUACCCCAUAACAUCCAGGGAGGCAUCUUCUUGGGUUGAAAACUCCGGUGGUAAUGGAUGGGCAUGCGUUGUAUUAGUUAGUUGGUGGGGUAACGGCUCACCAAGACAACGAUACAUAGGGGGACUGAGAGGUUAACCCCCCACAUUGGUACUGAGACACGGACCAAACUCCUACGGGAGGCAGCAGUGAGGAAUAUUGGUCAAUGGACGCAAGUCUGAACCAGCCAUGCCGCGUGCAGGAAGACGGCUCUAUGAGUUGUAAACUGCUUUUGUACGAGGGUAAACGCAGAUACGCGUAUCUGUCUGAAAGUAUCGUACGAAUAAGGAUCGGCUAACUCCGUGCCAGCAGCCGCGGUAAUACGGAGGAUUCAAGCGUUAUCCGGAUUUAUUGGGUUUAAAGGGUGCGUAGGCGGUCGGAUAAGUUAGAGGUGAAAUCCCGGGGCUCAACUUCGGAAUUGCCUCUGAUACUGUUCGGCUAGAGAGUAGUUGCGGUAGGCGGAAUGUAUGGUGUAGCGGUGAAAUGCUUAGAGAUCAUACAGAACACCGAUUGCGAAGGCAGCUUACCAAGCUACUUCUGACGUUGAGGCACGAAAGCGUGGGGAGCAAACAGGAUUAGAUACCCUGGUAGUCCACGCAGUAAACGAUGAUAACUCGUUGUCGGCGAUACAGUGUCGGUGACUAAGCGAAAGCGAUAAGUUAUCCACCUGGGGAGUACGUUCGCAAGAAUGAAACUCAAAGGAAUUGACGGGGGCCCGCACAAGCGGAGGAACAUGUGGUUUAAUUCGAUGAUACGCGAGGAACCUUACCCGGGCUUGAAAGUUAGUGACGGAUCUUGAAAGAGGUCUUCCCUUCGGGGCACGAAACUAGGUGCUGCAUGGUUGUCGUCAGCUCGUGCCGUGAGGUGUCGGGUUAAGUCCCAUAACGAGCGCAACCCCUACCGUUAGUUGCCAGCAGGUCAAGCUGGGCACUCUGACGGGACUGCCGGUGUAAGCCGAGAGGAAGGUGGGGAUGACGUCAAAUCAGCACGGCCCUUACGUCCGGGGCUACACACGUGUUACAAUGGCAGGUACAGAGGGCAGCUACCCAGCGAUGGGAUGCGAAUCUCGAAAGCCUGUCUCAGUUCGGAUUGGAGGCUGAAACCCGCCUCCAUGAAGUUGGAUUCGCUAGUAAUCGCGCAUCAGCCAUGGCGCGGUGAAAAGGUUCCCGGGCCUUGUAC